CGGUGUUGCUGGAGGCGUGGCUCCUGUAUCAGCCUCCAACCUGGCGGUCCCUUUUAUGGCUCAUCCUAUCUCUCUCUGACCAGCAGUUUGAUCUGAGACUCACCCAGAAGUUUGGUCUAAGUGAAACUUCAGGGAAGUUCCUGGUGCUGUCAGGGACAGGAGGACCACACGUUCAAGGCCUGCUUGGACUUCAGAGUAAAUUCUAGGUCAGCCUGGGGAACUUGGUGGAAUCCUGUCUCCAAACAAAACAAAAUGUGGGCUUGUGGUGCAGGGUGGACUUCCGGCUACAAGCGCCGAGGCUUCGCGUUCUUUCAUUGGAUGGAAAAGAAAACUUCGUGAACAAAAUAAGCUAAAAAGAUCUGCAUAAACAAUUUUUAUUUUUAAAUU
rnacentral:lncRNA from 1 species